GGCCCGAGGCAGAGGAGCAGGGAAGAUGGCGGCUGUGGUGGAGAAUGUAGUGAAACUGAUUGGCCUCCGGACAGCUGUACUCCUACCCUGCCCGGCGCUGGCGGAAAAAGCGGCGAGCCCAUCCCCCUGAGGAUCCACGACUUUCCUUCCCAUCUAUUAAGCCAGACACAGACCAGACCCUGAAGAAGGAGGGGCUGAUCUCUCAGGAUGGCAGUAGUUUAGAGGCUCUGUUGCGCACUGACCCCCUGGAGAAGCGAGGUGCCCCGGAUCCCCGAGUUGAUGAUGACAGCCUGGGCGAGUUUCCUGUGACCAACAGUCGAGCACGAAAGCGGAUCCUAGAACCAGAUGACUUCCUGGAUGACCUCGAUGAUGAAGACUAUGAAGAAGAUACUCCCAAGCGUCGGGGAAAGGGGAAAUCCAAGGGUAAGGGUGUGGGCAGUGCCCGUAAGAAGCUGGAUGCUUCCAUCCUGGAGGACCGGGAUAAGCCCUAUGCCUGUGACAAUAGUUUCAAACAAAAGCAUACCUCGAAAGCGCCCCAGAGAGUUUGUGGAAAACGUUACAAGAACCGACCAGGCCUCAGUUACCACUAUGCCCACUCCCACUUGGCUGAGGAGGAGGGUGAGG
rnacentral:sRNA from 1 species